CGAAUUAUAAGCGGAGGUUGUCGCUGGCCCCUCGGGGGGCAUGUGCACGCCCGAGCUCUUAAUCCACUUACACCAGUGAACUCUUUGUGGGGAAACCGUCCGUCCUGGAGGGGAUUCUCAUGUAUUAUUCUAUAUACUCUUAUGCAUGUCUUCAGAAUGUCCUGAUGUUGCUCCAACGCAAUCAUAUAUAUAUACAACUUUCAACAACGGAUCUCUUGGCUCUCGCAUCGAUGAAGAACGCAGCGAAAUGCGAUAAGUAAUGUGAAUUGCAGAUUUUCAGUGAAUCAUCGAAUCUUUGAACGCACCUUGCGCUCCUUGGUAUUCCGAGGAGCAUGCCUGUUUGAGUGUCAUUAAAUUCUCAACUUCACCGAUUAGAUUCGAGUGGAAGCUUGGAGUUUGGAGCGUGCUGGCCCUUCCCGGGGUCGGCUCCUCUUUAAAUGCAGCAGCGGAGUCAUCUUUGACCUUGCGGCAUUGGCGUGAUAGUCGUUGUUGCGCCGUUGGCCCAAGGUCUCGGUCCGCUUACAAAAUGGUCUAGGGAUGACUUGGACAAUGAAAUGUUUGUUUGACCUCAAAUCAGGUAGGACUACCCGCUGAACUUAA
rnacentral:rRNA from 1 species